AAAGCAAGACGUGUUUUGAUUGCUGGCGCUCACAAAUUAUGCAAUCAUGUACCAAUGUUUAAAUGUUUUUUAUGUGCUAUACUUGUCCUCCACUACAUAUAAUAAAUAUAUAUGUUCUUGUCCUAUAUAUCUAUUUAUAUAUCUACCAGAAGAAUACAAAUUCCUCAAGCCACCUUGUUUUCUCUUUGUGGCUUUGAAACUUGAAUAACUCUUGAAUAGUUCAUGGCUAUGUUUUUCUUUUGCUGCUUCUCUGAAUCCUCAGAAUCCAAAGAGUUUAUAUGCCAAGGAGAUGUUUGUAUUCUCAGAGAUCGGAAGAAGUACCAAUCAAAAAAGUCCAAGAGCAAGCACUAAUCGUUUCCAUGUUAGAACUAUGUCCUAUGUAUUUAUUGAUUUUAUGGUUUUAUAGUAAACUUUUAAAGGAGAUCCAUUAGAUGAAGGAUUUUUUAGUCCUACAUAUCUAUUAUGUACUUGAUUACUCAGAAUUCCCAUGUUUAUGCGGGAUACAGCUGAAAAAGUUGAAUGGAUAACGAAUUUGGAUACUCUUGCAACAACAGAAAUUUUCUACAGCUCGAUCCCCUGUGCACAUUCAGAGCCAAUGAUUUUUUCAAUUAUUGUUUCUUACGGUUAUAUUUUUGUUUUGGAAUAGAUGUGCCUCCUAAUUUGUUGCUUUGUUCUAUCCAUAAAUAGUCCCUUUACCCUUGUGGCUCAAGUCAAUUUGGCUCACAAAAUUUAUGUCAUCUAGUGUUACCUCAAUUCUAGGCUUCAUGUAAACUUUGAGUCUAACACGUUUUCUAGGCAAAUAAUUUUGUGCCUCUCAAGAUCUAUUGCACAAUUAUUGACCAUUCUUUUGCAUAUGCUGCUUGGCCUUGAAUUACUGAGGCAUAUAAUAAUCUAAUAGAGUUCAGCAAAAAAAAAAAAAAAACAAAAGAAACCAGUACUGCAACAAAUUGUUCACCUUGGAGCUGGAAAUUCUUUCUCAUGGAUUUGUCAUGCUUCAAGAUUCGCUUUUGCUUCUCUGAAUCUUCAGAACCUAAAGGGCUCAUAGCCGUUUGUGAGGGCGAUGUUUGUUAUCUGGCGGAUCGGAAGAAAUACAAAGGAUCUAAAUCCAAGGGAAAGAAUAUGCAUAGCAGCUGAACCAAGUUUGUUUAUGUAUCCCAAGGGUGUCCAUGUUUGUUGUUGCUAGCUGCCAUCAAGUGUCUCAAUGCCUUGUAAUUACUCUACCAUGUAGCUGCUGUUUGGUGUCAUGUGAUUUCCAGUCUCAGACAAUGGUAAAAAGGUAAGAAUAUUUUACUGGUGUUUCAAGGAGAAGAAAAGAACACCUUAUGGGUGCUGUAUAGCAAGCUAGAAGAAUUGAAAUAUUUGUUAAUCCCAUGUUGGAGGAUGGUUUUUAAUUUUAUAUUUUUAACAUUUAAAAAAACUGAUUUAUAAUUUUAGAUUCA